AGGAUCAUGAGCGUGCAUUCUUUGAUUCUGCUAAUUGGGCUCUUGGAAAGCAAGGAAAAGCAAAGCCUAAAGGACCACUCGAGGCACUCCGACCAAAAUUACAGCCCACACCACACCAGCAAGCGCGAUCCAGACGAUCAGCUUAUGCUCCAGCAGGCGAGGGUGAAG